CUACGGGCCGCAGCAGUGGGGAAUAUUGCACAAUGGAGGAAACUCUGAUGCAGCAACGCCGCGUGGAGGAUGACACUUUUCGGAGCGUAAACUCCUUUUAUAUAGGAAGAAGGUGACGGUACUAUAUGAAUAAGCGCCGGCUAACUCCGUGCCAGCAGCCGCGGUAAUACGGAGGGCGCAAGCGUUACUCGGAAUCACUGGGCGUAAAGAGCGUGUAGGCGGAUUAAAAAGUCAGAAGUGAAAUCCUAUAGCUUAACUAUAGAACUGCUUCUGAAACUCUUAAUCUAGAAUAUGGGAGAGGUAGAUGGAAUCUCUGGUGUAGGGGUAAAAUCCGUAGAGAUCAGAAGGAAUACCGAUUGCGAAGGCGAUCUACUAGAACAUUAUUGACGCUGAGACGCGAAAGCGUGGGGAGCAAACAGGAUUAGAUACCCCUGUAGUC
rnacentral:rRNA from 1 species